rnacentral:rRNA from 1 species
GGGGGGGUCAAGCGUUGUUCGGAAUUACUGGGCGUAAAGGGCUCGUAGGCGGCCAACUCAGUCGGACGUGAAAUCCCUCGGCUCAACCGAGGAACUGCGUCCGAUACUAGCUGGCUUGAAUCCGGAAGAGGGAUGCGGAAUUCCAGGUGUAGCGGUGAAAUGCGUAGAUAUCUGGAGGAACACCGGUGGCGAAGGCGGCAUCCUGGGUCGGUAUUGACGCUGAGGAGCGAAAGCCAGGGGAGCAAACGGGAUUAGAUACCCCGGUAGUCCUGGCCCUAAACGAUGAAAUGCUUGGUGUGGUGGGUAUCGAUCCCUGCCGUGCCGAAGCUAACGCAUUAAGCAUUCCGCCUGGGGAGUACGGUCGCAAGGCUG